rnacentral:misc_RNA from 1 species
GAUGAAGAACGCAGCGAAAUGCGAUAAGUAAUGUGAAUUGCAGAAUUCAGUGAAUCAUCGAAUCUUUGAACGCACAUUGCGCCCGCCAGUAUUCUGGCGGGCAUGCCUGUUCGAGCGUCAUUACAACCCUCAGGCCCCCGGGCCUGGCGUUGGGGAUCGGCGGAAGCCCCCUGUGGGCACACGCCGUCCCUCAAAUACAGUGGCGGUCCCGCCGCAGCUUCCAUUGCGUAGUAGCUAACACCUCGCAACUGGAGAGCGGCGCGGCCAUGCCGUAAAACACCCAACUUCUGAAUGUUGACCUCGAAUCAGGUAGGAAUACCCGCUGAACUUAAGCAUAUCAAUAGCGGAGGA